rnacentral:rRNA from 1 species
CCUACGGGCGGCAGCAGUGGGGAAUAUUGCACAAUGGGGGAAACCCUGAACCAGCGACGCCGCGUUAGGGAAGACGGUUUUCGGAUUGUAAAGCUCUAUCCGCAGGGAAGAAAAUGACGGUACCUGAGGACGAAGCUCCGGCUAACUACGUGCCAGCAGCCGCGGUAAUACGUAGGGGGCAAGCGUGCUCCGGAUUUACUGGGUGUAAAGGGUGCGUAGACGGCCAUGCAAGUCAGAAGUGAAAUCCAUGGGCUUAACCGGGGAACUGCUUUUGAAACUGUGGGGCUUGAGUGCAGUAGAGGCAGGCGGAAUUCCGGGUGUAGCGGUGAAAUGCGUAGAGAUCAGGAGGAACACCAGUGGCGAAGGCGGCGUACUGGGCUUUAACUGACGCUGAGGCUCGAAAGCGUGGGUAGCAAACAGGAUUAGAUACCCGAGUAGUC